CAAACUUAGCACAGUGGUAAAUGUUUUGUGAAUACGUCUCUCAAUAUUGUGAUUGUAUCCCAACGUGCUCACCAGCUAUUGUUCUAGUCUGUGUAUUUUACCACCCGUGGAAAUGUGAUAAAUCGCACACUUUAUUUUGAAAGUUUGAUGGCAGUGCAGGACUCCACAUUUCUAUUACCUGUAACACAGGGAGUGAAUGUAUGGUGUUGUGGAGAAAAAAAGUCUGAAAAACAAAAAGAUGGAACACGUCUCCCCCGUUUCUAAAUGCGUUUAUCCUUUGUUUUAUUGGUAUUUAGUAGGGUGAACAGUCGGGAAAAGACACCGAUCGUUUUGGUUCACCCGAGGCGCAGCGGCAUCUGAGAGGGGCUGCCCUGACAUCCCUGUGCUUUACCAAACCUACUCCAGCUUUCUAUUAGGCUGAACCUAUUGUAGUGUGUGGUUUUUAUUCUUAAUGAAUUGCAUGAUUUGUGAAAACCAAAAAAAAAAAAAAAAAAAAGUAGCACCAAACGACACAGGUCUGCAAGCAAGAUGGCAGCCAGUUCUUUUAGGAGGAUUACAACCACCAUGAAAAAGUUAAGAGGGUUUAAAAUAUAAAACACCACACUGUAAUAGGGGCCUUGCUUGAGGCAGCUGCACAGGCUCUUAACAAAAAACACCACACUGUAACAGGGGCCUUGCUUGAGGCAGCUGCACAGGAUCUUAACAAAAAACACCACACUGUAACAGGGGCCUUGCUUGAGGCAGCUGCACAGGCUCUUAACAAAAAACACCACACUGUAACAGGGGCCUUGCUUGAGGCAGCUGCACAGGCUCUUAACAAAAAACACCACACUGUAACAGGGGCCUUGCUUGAGGCAGCUGCACAGGCUCUUAAC